GUGCUUUUUUUCCUCCCUAUUCUCUCACUCAGCAUCAACAAAGAAUACUUCUAUGGUUUUCCCCCACAUACCAACCAAGCAGUUCUGCCUUCGAUACCACCUGGGUGUCCUGUAAUUCAGUUCAAUUCUGAUACUAUCUAACUGGAGAUAACAUCACAUCUCACAGAUUGAGGGCUCAGUCCCACAAGACUGCCCCCACUUAAGUGCCAGUCACAUAGUAGGUUGUCACCUAUACUUCUCUGAUAGACUGGCUGUAAAUUGGACACUCUUGGGUUUGAUUAAUUUGCUAGAAUGGCUCACAGAACUCUAGGAAACACUUUAUGUUUCUCGGUUUAUGAUAAAGAUAUUACGAAGACUAUAGAUGAACAGUCAGAUGGACUAGAUGCAUAGAGUGAGGUGUGGGAGAAGGGGUUCCAAAUUUCUGUGGCUUCUCUGGGGCACCACCCUCCAGGAACCUCCACAUAUUCAUUUGUCUGGAAGCUCUCCAAACUGUGUUCUUUUGGCUUUUCAUGAAGGCUCACUGCAUAGGCAUGAUUGAUUACAUCACUGGCCAUUAUCCCCUCUCUCCUUCUGGAGGUUGGGGUGUGGAACUGAAAGUCUCAACCUUCUAAUCAGGCUUUAGUCUUUUCAGUGACCAGCCCCCAUCUUGAAGCUAUCUAGGAGUCAUUUUAUUAACAUACAAAAGGCACUCUUGGCUGGGCACCUCAUGCCUGUAAUCCCAGCACUUUGGGAGGCUGAGGUGGGCAGAUCACCUGAGGUCUGGAGUUCGAGACUAGCACGGCCAAUAUGGCAAAACCCCAUCUCUGCCAAAAAUACAAAAAUUAGCCAGGCGUGGUGGCGGGCGCCUGUACUCCCAGCUACUUGGGAGGCUGAAGCAGGGAGAAUUGCUUGAACCCAAGAGGCGGAGGUUGCAGGGAGCUGAGAUCGCAUCACUGCACUCCAGCCUGGGUGACAGAGUGAGACUCCGUCUCAAAAAACAAAAACAAAAAACAAAAGGUACUCUUAUCAUUCUACAGAAUCCAAGGCUUUUAGGAGCUGUGUGUCAGGAAAGGAGAGGAAAAAAAUAUAUUCACAGUAUUAUAGGAAAUGGUAUGUAUAAGAUAAUAUUGAGUGAAAAAAAAUCAGGUUAUAGGACAGUGGGUGUAUGAUUUUAUCUACGUGAAGUGUUUUCCUCCAGCAUAUUGUCUUGUGUAUUGUUUUGUAUAUAUCCUGUACAGACAUGAUUCUGGAAAGAAGUUCACCCAGAUGUUAACAGUGAUACAAUAAGUGGAGUUUUAGUAGAAUUUGAAAAUUUUAUGCUAUACAUAUCUUAGCUUUAGAAUUACAAAAUAGUGGCUGGGUGCGGUGGUUCACGCCUGUAAUCCCAGCACUUUGGGAGGCCGAGGUGGGUGGAUCACGAGGUCAGGAGAUCGAGACCAUCCUAGCUAACAUGGUGAAACCCUGUCUCUACUAAAAAUACAAAAAAAAAAACUAGCCGGGCGUGGUGGCGCAUGCCUGUAAUCCCAGCUACUCGGGAGGCUGAGGCAGGAGAAUCGCUUGAACCCGGAAGGUGGAGGUUGCAGUGAGCCGAGAUCAUGCCACUGCACUCCAGCCUGGGCAACAGAGAGAGACUCCAUCUCAAAAACAAAACAAAACAAAAUAGUUUUUAAAAAUGUUUUUUAAAAAAUUUGAAAUGCUAUCAAAUUUACAGAAAAGAUGCAAGAAGUGUAUAAAUAAUUUUUUUCUCCAAACUAUUUGAGAUUGUGAACCCCAAAUAUCUGAGAUAGUCUCAAUUAAUUUAGAAAGUUAAUUUUGGGCUUGGCGUGUUGGCUCACGCCUGUAAUCCCAGCAUCGUGGGAGGCCGAGGUGGGUGGAUCUCUUGAGGUCAGGAGUUCGAGACCAGCCUGAGCAACGUGGUGAAACCCUGUCUCUACUAAAAAUACAAAAAAAUUAGCCAGGUGUGGUGGCAGGCGCCUGUAGUCCCAGCUACUUGGGAGGCUGAAGCAGGAGAAUCACCUGAACCUGGGAGGCAGAGGUUGCAGUGAGCCGGGAUUGCACCACUGCACUCCAGUCUGGGUGACAGAGCGAGACUCCAUCUCAAAAAAAAAAAAAAAAAGAAAGUUUAUUUUGCCAAGGCUGAGGACACAUGCCUCUGGAGGUCCUGAUGACAUGCGUCCAAGGUGGUCAGAGCACAGUUGGUUUUAUAAAUUUUCGGGAGACAUGAGACAUCAAUCAACAUAUGUAAGAUGUAUGUUGGUUCCAUCCAGAUAGGUGGGACAGCUCAAGUAGGGAGGGGCUUCCAGGUCACAGAUAGGUGAGAGACAGGUAGGUGAGAGACACAGGUAGGUGCAUUCUUUUGAGUUUCUGAUUAGCCUUUCCGAAGGAGCAAUCAGAUAUGCGUUUAUCUUACUGAGCAGAGGGAUGACUUUGAAUAGAAUGGGAGGCAGGUUUGCCCGAAGCAGUUUCCAGCUUGACUUAUCCCUUUAGUUUAAUGAUUUUGGGGUCCCAAGACUUACUUUCCUUUCACAAGAUUAAGUUGCAGAUAUGAUAGUCCCAACCCCUUGAAACUUUGUAUUUCCUAUGAACCAGGAUAAUCUCCUAUAUAACCACAAUAUAAAACUAUUAAAAUUAAAAUGUUAACACUGAUACAUUACUACCAGCUAAUUCUCAGACCCCAUUCAAGUUUUACCAGUUGUCCCAAUAAUUUCCUUUACUGAAAGGAUUUAGUUCAGUCCUGCAUUUAUGGCUAUAUCUAUUUACCCUCCUUCAUCCUGGAACAGUUCCUCAAUCUUUCCUGAUCUUUGGAAGAUUCAGACCAGUUAUUUGGUAAAAUGUUCUUCAAUUUGAGUUUGUCUUGAAGUAUUCUCGUAAUUUGAUUCAGGUCUUGCAUCUUUGGGAGGAAUAUCACAGAAGUAAUGCUGUGUUCUUAUUGUUACAUUUUACAGGUGGCACAUGGUUUUCAUUUGUUCUGUUACUGAUGAUAUUCACUUUGGUCAUUCAUUAAGGUAGUAUCUGCCAGGGCUCUCCACUUUAAAAUUACUCUUUUUUUACCCCUUUGUAAUUAAUAAACAUUGCAAAAUAUUAGGAACCCCCAUGUUGAUUUAUUUCAUUACUGCUGAUGUUAACUUUCCUUACUUGGUUAAGGUUGUUUUUGUCACUGUAAAGUUACAGGUUUUCCUAUUGUAAUUAUAAAUAUCUUAUUAGGAGAUACCUUGAAAAUAUGUGAAUAACCAGUGUACUCAGCAAACUUUUACCCACUAGUUUAGCAUCCAUUGAUGAUUCUUUUCUGAUCAAUUAUUAUUAUGAUGCAUGCCAAAUAGUGGCUUUCUAAUUCCAUCAUUUCUACUUUUAUUAAUUGGCUUUCUACUUGAGGAAGAGCUUUCUCUCCUCUCCCAUUUACGUAUUUAUAUAUAUAUAAAUUUAUAUACACAUAUAUAUAUGUAAAUACAUACAGAAUACACACUGGGUGUAUUCUUACAUUCUUAUUUUAUACAACAAGAUACAUUCCUUUACUAUCAUAAUUUACUUUGAUGCUUAAGUUUUCCCCGAUUUGGCUAGUGGGAGCCUCUUCAAGCUGCUUCUGGGUCCUUAUUAAAUGCCGCAUGUUUGCUUAAAUACUUCCUUUCUGGUAUAGUAAGUUGUUCAGGGCUCAUCUUAUCCUUUUCCUGCUCUGGACCUGAAAUGAAACCACUUAGGAGCCCUGUUUCCUUUUAGCCUUGGUUCUACCAAGAAGAUAAUGCUUCAUGUGCACCCUUACCCUGGGUGUCAUUAAUUCUAGGUCCCAGCGGAUGGAGCUAAGAAGAAGAUGUAUGUGCAUAUAUAUGUAUCUAUAGAUGUAUAUAAAAUCAUAAGUAUAUGUGUGUGCAUAUAUGUCUGCAUACUCCAAUAUGCAUCUAUAUCUCUAUUAAAAUAAAAAAAAUUUUAUAUUAAAA
rnacentral:lncRNA from 1 species